rnacentral:rRNA from 1 species
UACGUAGGCAGCAAGCGUUGUUCGGAGUUACUGGGCGUAAAGAGUGCGUAGGCGGUCUUUUUAAGUUUGGUGUGAAAUCUCCCGGCUCAACUGGGAGGGUGCGCCGAAAACUGGGAGGCUUGAGGAUGGGAGAGGCAUGCGGAAUUCCUGGUGUAGCGGUGAAAUGCGUAGAUAUCAGGAGGAACACCUGCGGUGUAGACAGCAUGCUGGACCAUUUCUGACGCUGAGGCACGAAAGCGUGGGUAGCAAACAGG